AUGGCCUUGUGCCGGCGAUGGUUCAUUCAAAUUUCUGCCCUAUCAACUUUCGAUGGUAGGAUAGUGGCCUACCAUGGUUUCAACGGGUAACGGGGAAUUAGGGUUCUAUUCCGGAGAGGGAGCCUGAGAAACGGCUACCACAUCCAAGGAAGGCAGCAGGCGCGCAAAUUACCCAAUCCCGACACGGGGAGGUAGUGACAAUAAAUACUGAUACAGGGCUCUUUUGAGUCUUGUAAUUGGAAUGAGUACAAUUUAAAUCCCUUAACGAGGAACAAUUGGAGGGCAAGUCUGGUGCCAGCAGCCGCGGUAAUUCCAGCUCCAAUAGCGUAUAUUAAAGUUGUUGCAGUUAAAAAGCUCGUAGUUGAACCUUGGGCCUGGCUGGCCGGUCCGCCUCACCGCGUGCACUGGUCCGGCCGGGCCUUUCCUCCUGGGGAGCCGCAUGCCCUUCACUGGGUGUGUCGGGGAACCAGGACUUUUACUUUGAAAAAAUUAGAGUGUUCAAAGCAGGCCUAUGCUCGAAUACAUUAGCAUGGAAUAAUAGAAUAGGACGUGUGGUUCUAUUUUGUUGGUUUCUAGGACCGCCGUAAUGAUUAAUAGGGAUAGUCGGGGGCAUCAGUAUUCAAUUGUCAGAGGUGAAAUUCUUGGAUUUAUUGAAGACUAACUACUGCGAAAGCAUUUGCCAAGGAUGUUUUCAUUAAUCAGUGAACGAAGUUAGGGGAUCGAAGACGAUCAGAUACCGUCGUAGUCUUAACCAUAAACUAUGCCGACUAGGGAUCGGGCGAUGUUAUCUUUUUGACUCGCUCGGCACCUUACGAGAAAUCAAAGUUUUUGGGUUCUGGGGGGAGUAUGG
rnacentral:rRNA from 1 species